rnacentral:misc_RNA from 1 species
AGAAGAAAGGAAACAAGCGAUCCCUUGCUGAGGAAAGCUUUUUUAGCUGGUUCAGUGAAGUCAAUCAGAAGGAUGAUGGUGAAGAUGAUGAGGAUGUCUUUCUGGAGAUUCAAGAUGAAGUUGCUGAGAUAAUCAAGGACGAUUUGUGGCCGAACCCUCUAACUUAUUUUAACAAUGAUCCUGAUGAAGAAGAUCUUGAGGAGGAUGAAGGUGGCGAUGAGGGAAAGGACAGUGAAGGCUCAGAUGAUGAUGAUGAUGAUGAGUGAAGUCUUAUACUUCCUCUUUUCGAGUUAUCAUCUUCAAAAGUUUUGUUGAAUAUGGUUUUGUUGGUGUCUGUAGAGAGGCUUUAUUUAACAUGUUUGGAAAAGAAUAUAAUUUAUUUUAGGUGAGGUCAUGCAAUUGGUAACGUAACUCUACAUGUUUUUUGAACCUUGUUGGUUUUCAAUUAGUUUAAGCAGCAUUGAUUAAUGGCAAGGGAGGGUAACUUGUUUGAGAACUCAAAGAUUCUACCUGGCAAAUCACUUUUUAUCUUAUUGAUUCUGUUUAAG